CCUACGGGGGGCAGCAGUGGGGAAUAUUGCACAAUGGGCGCAAGCCUGAUGCAGCCAUGCCGCGUGUGUGAAGAAGGCCUUCGGGUUGUAAAGCACUUUCAGCGGGGAGGAAGGCGUUAAGGUUAAUAACCUUGGCGAUUGACGUUACCCGCAGAAGAAGCACCGGCUAACUCCGUGCCAGCAGCCGCGGUAAUACGGAGGGUGCAAGCGUUAAUCGGAAUUACUGGGCGUAAAGCGCACGCAGGCGGUCUGUCAAGUCGGAUGUGACAUCCCCGGGCUCAACCUGGGAACUGCAUUCGAAACUGGCAGGGUAGAGUCUUGUAGAGGGGGGUAGAAUUCCAGGUGUAGCGGUGAAAUGCGUAGAGAUCUGGAGGAAUACCGGUGGCGAAGGCGGCCCCCUGGACAAGGACUGACGCUCAGGUGCGAAAGCGUGGGGAGCAAACAGGAUUAGAUACCCGUGUAGUC
rnacentral:rRNA from 1 species